GAGGCGGAGGACAGCCUGGGGUACCCCAACGGGUCCGCUCCCUCCUCCUCCCCAGGCACUGGGCCUCUUUGGUGACACCCUGGGUGGCAGGCAAGCCUGGAAAUCAAGUGCACGGGGCCUGGAAAGGAGGACCGGGAGAGUUAUGGGACUUAUGAAGGAAGAAGAGAAAGAGAAUCACUUGGAUGGGAAAAGUUAACUGGAUUGUUCCCACCUGCAUGGAUCAUCCGGAAGCAACUUAGCCGUCUCGCCUUGCGGCCUGGAACCCCUGGCAAUUUCCGGAGCAUUGGCAAGAGACCUUUGCACAGUUUCUGCAUGGAGUCCACUGACUCUCUGUCUCAGAGGCCUAGACAGCUACUUGUUGUAUUUGGCUCAUGCUAGCUUAAAAGGGGACUUUAUAGACCUUACUGCAGAAUGUCCCAAUUCUUCAAGGCCAAGGUAAAUGCGAGUUGGGGUGUAGUAAAGUUGCAAACUGCCCUUAAGAAAAACGGUUAAUAAGACAGUGUUCCUUCCACCUCUGCCCUCCCCUUGGUUAUCCCACCCCAAAAGCUUUCCCACCGGGCUUCAGGGUGACAAACGCUUGGAUUUGAUGAAGCUGAGAUUUUCUUGUGCUUUUGUUGACAGCAGGGCAGUUUUAUUGAAACUUGCUGAAAGAAGCUAGCUUCGAAGGUUCUGCCAAGACUCUGCAUCCCAGGGGAAGCAGGGCUUUGACUUAAGAUACUCACAUCUGUCAACCACAGGCGUUCAUUCACUUUUCUCUUUCAUUUGGGGAAGGUAGGGAGAAAAUGAAUCAGAGGCUGAUUUUUUUUUUUUUGGUCUGUUUUCCCCAAGCUCCAGGAAAUUAAGAAACAGGCCAUUAGUUUUAGCAAACAAUUUAAACAGAGUAAAACCGGAUCCCCCACCAAAGGCCAAGGACCAUGAGGGGUCUGAGUGCGCCUGGCCCUGCUUGUGGACUCUGCGGGUCGUGGAGGAGCCAUGAGAUGGUAAGAGAGCUGUGGGUGAUACAGGAUGAUGUGUGUGACAGUCCUCCCUGUGUCUUUUUUUGCUACCAUAGUUAUCAUAGCUUAGAUGUGUGUGGCCUGGUGGCUCCAGAGAAGGGUGAACAGCAAGGGUUUUUGGGGUGCCAUGGCCCAGGCCUUAGCCUGAGCAUUGUGGGAAGCCAGUGGGUGGCUACAUGCAUUGGCGCGGACCAGUGGGCAUUUCCUUGGAAGCCAGUCCCUGAGAUGGCUCUGGGCGGCCACUCCUGCAUCUCACCUAAAUCCACAGGGUUCAGCUGUAUCUCCAGGGUUUAUUGAAAAGGAGAGUGUAUGGCGGAUUUCAGUAUUCGUAUUCUAUAAAGACUUUAUAAGGGGUGGGGGACAGGAACAAAGAAACCAGUGCUGGUGAUCCUGCCCCCACAGUAAUGUCUGCUCCAGUCUGGAUCUGGGACAGGUGCCAGGCCCUGUUCUCCCUGGGGGAAUGCAGGUCCAAGGACCUCGGCUGUGUGGGUGGCUCGCCGCCAUGCGUGUGAUUUUGAUGUUUGUACGUUUGUUCUACCACAUGAACCAGUCUUGAAUGGCUGUUCUGAGUAAAUGGGAUGAUGUGGGUGAAGCCCAAAGACCAGAGCUUGGCACAGGGCCAUGCUGGAUAAUGCUGACUCGUGGUGAUGAGGGGAAGGAGGAGGCAGGAUCCCAUGAGUCAGGAGCCCAGGCUCCAGUGCAGCUGAACUGCUGUCCACCAGUGUGAUCUCAGCAAGCCUCUCUCCAUCUGGACACAGAUGGUUCAUCCAUUAAACAUCCCAGGUGCAUUGAAGGGAGGUGAACUGUGUCCAGCAUGGUCUUCAGUUGUGGGAGGCUGAUACCCUACAACUUUCUGUCUCCUGGGGUUUUUACUUAUUACAAGGUAAAAUACAGUCUUAUUACAGAAAACUAGAAAUGAGAAAAGCCUGUCACACAGUCACUCAUUCAACAAAUGCCUAUUGGGAGGGGUGGGAGAUGAGCCCCUGGUGGGAACAGGGUGAAGCCGUGGACUUUCUCUGGGUGUGAUGAGAGCAGCUGGAGGGCUUUGAGGAUCCCCAAAAUUCAAAACUCAGUUGUGGGCAGCUAUACCAGGAGAGGCAGAACCUCUGAAGGUUUCUGACUCCAAAAGCCAGCGAAAAUGCAGAUUUCAUGAGAAGGGGUGAAGCUUAGGGCCCUGCCAGGCAGUGAUGCUUUCUCAACUUUGGGGGCAGUAAAAUGCACAGACCCCAGGGAAGGAGGCCAGAAAGGAGGCUGCAAAGUGUGCAUGCUCUGGGAAGGGGGCAGGGAAACGCAGCAAAAACCUGCUGGGGACCCUGCCAGGCUGCCUCCCUUGGAGGCCCAGCUUGAGGGUUGGUGUUUCCCACCAGAGAUGGCAGAGAUGAUGAUUUCAGGCUCUGUGUAGAUAAGGAAUGAACUAUCAUUGAAUUUUUUCUUGGUUGUAUUGUUACAGAAAUUCUCUGUUGGGUGCUGGUGUACUUCAACACCACUUAACACUUGUCAAGCUCUCCUUUACUAAGGUAAAGCAGUCCUGACCCAGAGCUUUUGAUCAGGGAGCACUAUCUAGCCAAAAUUUUAUUUUGAUGCUUUGUUUUCAUUGCCUUUAAAACAAAAGAUGGUUAUCUUCCAUUUGCCAUG